UGACGUAGGGGGCAAGCGUUGUCCGGAAUUUAUUGGGCGUAAAGAGCGUGUAGGCGGCCAUACAGGUCAGCCUGUGAAAACUCGAGGCUCAACCUCGAGACGUCGGUUGAAACCGUAUGGCUAGAGUCCGGAAGAGGAGAGUGGAAUUCCCGGUGUAGCGGUGAAAUGGCGCAGAUAAUCGGGAAGAACACCCGUGGCGGAAGGCGGCUCUCUGGGACGGUACUGAACGGCUGAGACGCGAAAGCGUGGGGAGCGAACAGG
rnacentral:rRNA from 1 species